rnacentral:rRNA from 1 species
UACGUAGGGGGCGAGCGUUGUCCGGAAUCAUUGGGCGUAAAGAGCGUGUAGGCGGACUGGAAGGUCUGGUGUGAAAGCCCGGGGCUCAACCCCGGAGGGUCACUGGAAACCAACAGUCUUGAAUCUGGAAGAGGAGAGUGGAAUUCCUGGUGUAGCGGUGGAAUGCGCAGAUAUCAGGAGGAACACCAAUGGCGAAGGCAGCUCUCUGGUACAUGAUUGACGCUGAGACGCGAAAGCGUGGGGAGCGAACAGG